UAUCUAACUAAAUAAGAGAGAGAGAGAGAGAAAUCGUUUCCUCUUUAUUAUUCAGCGAGAAAAUUUACUUAUUAAAUAAAUUUGUUUUUAAACUGUUAUUGACACCUGAACGCCUCGAUAUAAACGAUAAGUUUACUGUUAUUCACCUGACACAAGAAUCUUGUAUAUUUAACAGUGUGCUAUUCUCAUUAUCAGUUAUUUACUAACGCACGCCCCUGCAUGGUGUUUAUUUGUUCGUCUUCCGGGGAUUUUUGAGGUUGAAGGGCAAGUUGCCGGUUGACGAUAAGCUUCUAACAGUCAGACAGUCUUGAACCACUUCGACCUCGUCCUGUAUUUUUGUUGUUGCAGGGGGGAACGGAGCGAGUGAGAAAGAGGGAGGGAUGCAAAAAAACUAGAAUGUUACUGAAUUAAAAUACAGAAAAAAAAUUAUAUUCCUAGCUACACCACUCUUUAAUCAAAUUGCGUACUAUCAUAUUAUUUAUUUGAUUUUUUUUUAAAGUAGAAGCAUGUAAAUGGGUUGCAUGUUUAACUGGAACACUUCAAGGAAACCCGAAUGCACAUGUACAACAACUGCAUACAGUUUUUUCCCCUCUCUUUCUCUCUCUCUCUCUCUUCCAUUUUGUUAUUUCGUAAUUCUCCCGUGUAAAAAUUCGGUUGUUUACCUAAAUCCCGAAAAAAUUGGAUCUCUUGUUUAUUUUGCAAAACACACCAUUCUAGACUGAAGUACGAUUCACCAAAACGUCUGAGUCAACUGAAACCAAAUAUGUAUUUACAUAUGCAAAGAGCGCACAGACAUAAUAAAUAAUGGAUUCUUUCUGACUUGUCAAAUUAAUACAACUAUUAAUUUAUUCAAAUAUAGUUAAACGUCCUUCUAAACUUAUCAAAGCAACUCUUAAAAACGAAUUUCUAGUGCGUUAAAAUAAGCAAAACAAAAAAAAAAAAAAACUCCUCUUUAUAAACUCUUCAUUCAUUGGUUACGAUUAUAUUACGUAUUGUUUAAUAAUUUUACCUAGAGGCGUGUUAUUGAACUGAAAUACAGUUAAUUAACAUCGUACUGUGUUAAUCGACUAUCUUAGUUUAAAAUUGAC
rnacentral:lncRNA from 1 species